GACAGAGGUGCCGAGCGUUAGGCGGAAUCACUGGGCUUAAAGCGUGUGUAGGCGGGCGGGCAAGUACCUUGUGAAAUCCCACGGCUCAACCGUGGAACGGCUAGGUAUACUGCCUGUCUUGAGCCAACUAGGGGCGAGCGGAACAGACGGUGGAGCGGUGAAAUGCGUAGAUAUCGUCUGGAACGCCGAAGGUGAAAACAGCUCGCUGGGGUUGUGCUGACGCUGAGACACGAAAGCCAGGGGAGCGAACGGG
rnacentral:rRNA from 1 species